rnacentral:tRNA from 1 species
AUAAAAGUAGACUAUAUAAGUCAUUAGGCUCAUAGUUUGAAAAUAAAUUUUUUUUCUUUUAUA